rnacentral:rRNA from 1 species
AACGAACGCUGGCGGCGUGGAUAAGACAUGCAAGUCGAACGGGAUUAAGUUUGUAGCAAUACAGACUUAGUCCAGUGGCAAACGGGUGCGUAACACGUGAGCAAUCUGCCGGAAAGUGGGGGAUAGCUCGCCGAAAGGCGAAUUAAUACCGCAUAUGGCCAGGAAGGACAUCCUUCCGACGCCAAAGUCGCAAGACGCUUCCUGAUGAGCUCGCGGCCUAUCAGCUUGUUGGUGAGGUAACGGCUCACCAAGGCUAUGACGGGUAGCUGGUCUGAGAGGACGACCAGUCACACUGGAACUGAGACACGGUCCAGACACCUACGGGUGGCAGCAGUCGAGAAUUUUUCACAAUGGGGGAAACCCUGAUGGAGCGACGCCGCGUGGAGGACGAAGGCCUUCGGGUCGUAAACUCCUGUCAUGCGGGAACAAGAAAGUGAUAGUACCGCAAGAGGAAGAGACGGCUAACUCUGUGCCAGCCGCCGCCGUAA